rnacentral:tRNA from 1 species
GGCCGCUUGGCCCAAUGGUAAGGCGUCUGACUACGAUUAUUCACUUAGCAGUGAUAUCAAGUUAUCAGGAGAUUCUGGGUUCGAGCCCCAGGGUGGUCA